rnacentral:lncRNA from 1 species
CAUCGAACCAAAGUCUUUUUCCGCGCUCGUGUCUCACGCCAGGAACGUGAUGAUCUGCGAAUAGAAAAAAGCACUUUCAUUAAGUCGUUUCAACGACGGUCACCGCAUGGAAGAUAAGCUGACAGUUGAAAAGAGGCCAUUUACGAUUCCUAGAAAAACAAAUUUUCCCAAAAGAAUCUAUUUAAACGUUUUUCCUAUGAGUCAUGUCAA